AGGUGGAACAGCUGGUGGAGAGGGCAGGCAAAGCCUGGUGACAAAAGAAGAUCUACUUCCUAGGAGCAAUUCCAGAGGAAAUAAACAUCAGAGUGAAUGACUUACAAGCCUUUUUUCUACCUGAAGGCAGACGUGAAGAAACUUAGGUUUGGUCUGUAUAGGUAUCACAAAUCCCGCUCCAACCUGACCUGAACUGCAACAAAGAAAUGUUUGUGUCACUAUGACAUUUGCAUGAAGCCACAGUGAAUAUUAUAGACCUACUCCAAAUCUUAUGGACGUCUGUGGAAGUUGGAUCAGGCCUUAUAUGAAGAAGAGACUUUUAUACAAGACCAUAGAGAUGCCCUGUACACUGAAAAUAGAAAUGUCAAAUGCCAUGGCCCUGAGUUUUCAGAAGAAUACCAAGGGAGUCAUUGUGCCAUGGAUUGCUGCAAUCUUUAGACACAUGUUGUAAAUAAUUAAUUAAUUAAUCAUAGUAAAGUGCUUUUAAAGA